rnacentral:rRNA from 1 species
AGUGAACGCUGGCGGCAGGCCUAACACAUGCAAGUCGAACGGCAGCAGAGUACGAGCUCGUUCAUACGGGGGCCGAGUGGCGGACGGGUGAGGAGAAUAUGGGUAUUUACUUUUUCUUGGGGCAUAAAGCAGGGACUAUUACGCCAUUCCCGCUUACGACGUAAGGGUGAAAGCUUGGGACCUUACGCCAUUGCGUGAUCCAAUGACGCGAUGUCGGAUUAGCUAGUUGGCGGGGUAAAGGCCCACCAAGGCGACGAUCCGUAGCUGGUCUGAGAGGAUGAUCAGUCACACUGGAACUGAGACACGGUCCAGACUCCUACGGGAGGCAGCAGUGGGGAAUAUUGGACAAUGGGCGCAAGCCUGAUCCAGCCAUGCCGCGUGUGUGAAGAAGGCCUUCGGAUUGUAAAGCCCUUUUAGUUGGGAAGAAGAGCAGCAGGUUAAUACCCCGCUGUUUUGACGUUACCCAAAGAAUAAGCACCGGCUAACUUCGUG